CCUACGGGUGGCUGCAGUGGGGAAUAUUGGGCAAUGGGCGCAAGCCUGACCCAGCAACGCCGCGUGAAGGAAGAAGGCUUUCGGGUUGUAAACUUCUUUUCUCAGGGACGAACAAAUGACGGUACCUGAGGAAUAAGCCACGGCUAACUACGUGCCAGCAGCCGCGGUAAUACGUAGGUGGCAAGCGUUAUCCGGAUUUACUGGGUGUAAAGGGCGUGUAGGCGGGAAGGCAAGUCAGAUGUGAAAACUAUGGGCUCAACCCAUAGCCUGCAUUUGAAACUGUUUUUCUUGAGUGCUGGAGAGGCAAUCGGAAUUCCGUGUGUAGCGGUGAAAUGCGUAGAUAUACGGAGGAACACCAGUGGCGAAGGCGGAUUGCUGGACAGUAACUGACGCUGAGGCGCGAAAGCGUGGGGAGCAAACAGGAUUAGAUACCCUAGUAG
rnacentral:rRNA from 1 species